UUAAGCGACUAAGCGUACACGGUGGAUGCCCUGGCAGUCAGAGGCGAUGAAGGACGUGCUAAUCUGCGAUAAGCGUCGGUAAGGUGAUAUGAACCGUUAUAACCGGCGAUUUCCGAAUGGGGAAACCCAGUGUGUUUCGACACACUAUCAUUAACUGAAUCCAUAGGUUAAUGAGGCGAACCGGGGGAACUGAAACAUCUAAGUACCCCGAGGAAAAGAAAUCAACCGAGAUUCCCCCAGUAGCGGCGAGCGAACGGGGAGCAGCCCAGAGCCUGAAUCAGUGUGUGUAUUAGUGGAAGCGUCUGGAAAGGCGCGCGAUACAGGGUGACAGCCCCGUACACAAAAAUGCACAUGCUGUGAGCUCGAUGAGUAGGGCGGGACACGUGGUAUCCUGUCUGAAUAUGGGGGGACCAUCCUCCAAGGCUAAAUACUCCUGACUGACCGAUAGUGAACCAGUACCGUGAGGGAAAGGCGAAAAGAACCCCGGCGAGGGGAGUGAAAAAGAACCUGAAACCGUGUACGUACAAGCAGUGGGAGCCUCUUUAUGGGGUGACUGCGUACCUUUUGUAUAAUGGGUCAGCGACUUAUAUUCUGUAGCAAGGUUAACCGAAUAGGGGAGCCGAAGGGAAACCGAGUCUUAACUGGGCGUUAAGUUGCAGGGUAUAGACCCGAAACCCGGUGAUCUAGCCAUGGGCAGGUUGAAGGUUGGGUAACACUAACUGGAGGACCGAACCGACUAAUGUUGAAAAAUUAGCGGAUGACUUGUGGCUGGGGGUGAAAGGCCAAUCAAACCGGGAGAUAGCUGGUUCUCCCCGAAAGCUAUUUAGGUAGCGCCUCGUGAAUUCAUCUCCGGGGGUAGAGCACUGUUUCGGCAAGGGGGUCAUCCCGACUUACCAACCCGAUGCAAACUGCGAAUACCGGAGAAUGUUAUCACGGGAGACACACGGCGGGUGCUAACGUCCGUCGUGAAGAGGGAAACAACCCAGACCGCCAGCUAAGGUCCCAAAGUCAUGGUUAAGUGGGAAACGAUGUGGGAAGGCCCAGACAGCCAGGAUGUUGGCUUAGAAGCAGCCAUCAUUUAAAGAAAGCGUAAUAGCUCACUGGUCGAGUCGGCCUGCGCGGAAGAUGUAACGGGGCUAAACCAUGCACCGAAGCUGCGGCAGCGACGCUUAUGCGUUGUUGGGUAGGGGAGCGUUCUGUAAGCCUGCGAAGGUGUGCUGUGAGGCAUGCUGGAGGUAUCAGAAGUGCGAAUGCUGACAUAAGUAACGAUAAAGCGGGUGAAAAGCCCGCUCGCCGGAAGACCAAGGGUUCCUGUCCAACGUUAAUCGGGGCAGGGUGAGUCGACCCCUAAGGCGAGGCCGAAAGGCGUAGUCGAUGGGAAACAGGUUAAUAUUCCUGUACUUGGUGUUACUGCGAAGGGGGGACGGAGAAGGCUAUGUUGGCCGGGCGACGGUUGUCCCGGUUUAAGCGUGUAGGCUGGUUUUCCAGGCAAAUCCGGAAAAUCAAGGCUGAGGCGUGAUGACGAGGCACUACGGUGCUGAAGCAACAAAUGCCCUGCUUCCAGGAAAAGCCUCUAAGCAUCAGGUAACAUCAAAUCGUACCCCAAACCGACACAGGUGGUCAGGUAGAGAAUACCAAGGCGCUUGAGAGAACUCGGGUGAAGGAACUAGGCAAAAUGGUGCCGUAACUUCGGGAGAAGGCACGCUGAUAUGUAGGUGAAGCGACUUGCUCGUGGAGCUGAAAUCAGUCGAAGAUACCAGCUGGCUGCAACUGUUUAUUAAAAACACAGCACUGUGCAAACACGAAAGUGGACGUAUACGGUGUGACGCCUGCCCGGUGCCGGAAGGUUAAUUGAUGGGGUUAGCGGUAACGCGAAGCUCUUGAUCGAAGCCCCGGUAAACGGCGGCCGUAACUAUAACGGUCCUAAGGUAGCGAAAUUCCUUGUCGGGUAAGUUCCGACCUGCACGAAUGGCGUAAUGAUGGCCAGGCUGUCUCCACCCGAGACUCAGUGAAAUUGAACUCGCUGUGAAGAUGCAGUGUACCCGCGGCAAGACGGAAAGACCCCGUGAACCUUUACUAUAGCUUGACACUGAACAUUGAGCCUUGAUGUGUAGGAUAGGUGGGAGGCUUUGAAGUGUGGACGCCAGUCUGCAUGGAGCCGGCCUUGAAAUACCACCCUUUAAUGUUUGAUGUUCUAACGUUGGCCCCUGAUCGGGGUUGCGGACAGUGUCUGGUGGGUAGUUUGACUGGGGCGGUCUCCUCCUAAAGAGUAACGGAGGAGCACGAAGGUUGGCUAAUCCUGGUCGGACAUCAGGAGGUUAGUGCAAUGGCAUAAGCCAGCUUGACUGCGAGCGUGACGGCGCGAGCAGGUGCGAAAGCAGGUCAUAGUGAUCCGGUGGUUCUGAAUGGAAGGGCCAUCGCUCAACGGAUAAAAGGUACUCCGGGGAUAACAGGCUGAUACCGCCCAAGAGUUCAUAUCGACGGCGGUGUUUGGCACCUCGAUGUCGGCUCAUCACAUCCUGGGGCUGAAGUAGGUCCCAAGGGUAUGGCUGUUCGCCAUUUAAAGUGGUACGCGAGCUGGGUUUAGAACGUCGUGAGACAGUUCGGUCCCUAUCUGCCGUGGGCGCUGGAGAACUGAGGGGGGCUGCUCCUAGUACGAGAGGACCGGAGUGGACGCAUCACUGGUGUUCGGGUUGUCAUGCCAAUGGCACUGCCCGGUAGCUAAAUGCGGAAGAGAUAAGUGCUGAAAGCAUCUAAGCACGAAACUUGCCCCGAGAUGAGUUCUCCCUGAGACUUUAAGUCUCCUGAAGGAACGUUGAAGACGACGACGUUGAUAGGCCGGGUGUGUAAGCGCAGCGAUGCGUUGAGCUAACCGGUACUAAUGAACCGUGAGGCUUAACCUU
rnacentral:rRNA from 1 species